rnacentral:rRNA from 1 species
UACGUAGGGUCCGAGCGUUGUCCGGAAUUAUUGGGCGUAAAGAGCUCGUAGGCGGUUUGUCGCGUCUGCUGUGAAAUCUGGAGGCUCAACCUCCAGCCUGCAGUGGGUACGGGCAGACUAGAGUGCGGUAGGGGGAGAAUGGAAUUCCUGGUGUAGCGGUGGAAUGCGCAGAUAUCAGGAGGAACACCGAUGGCGAAGGCAGGUCUCUGGGCCAUUACUGACACUGAGAAGCGAAAGCAUGGGGAGCGAACAGG